rnacentral:rRNA from 1 species
GCUUCCGCUGACGACCGGCGCACGGGUGCGUAACGCGUAUGCAACUUGCCCUCAACUGGAAAAUAGCCCGGAGAAAUUCGGAUUAAUAUUCCAUAGUAUCACAGUUUCGCAUGAUUUUGUGAUUAAAGCUUCGGCGGUUGAGGAUGGGCAUGCGUCCUAUUAGCUUGUUGGUGAGGUAAUGGCUCACCAAGGCUGCGAUAGGUAGGGGGCCUGAGAGGGUAAUCCCCCACACUGGUACUGAGACACGGACCAGACUCCUACGGGAGGCAGCAGUGAGGAAUAUUGGUCAAUGGACGAAAGUCUGAACCAGCCAUGCCGCGUGCAGGAUGACGGCCCUACGGGUUGUAAACUGCUUUUAUAAGGGAAUAAACCCCCCGACGUGUCGGGGGCUGAAGGUACCUUACGAAUAAGGAUCGGCUAACUCCGUGCCAGCAGCCGCGGUAAUACGGAGGAUCCAAGCGUUAUCCGGAUUCAUUGGGUUUAAAGGGUCCGCAGGCGGGUUAUUAAGUCAGUGGUGAAAUCCUGCAGCUUAACUGUAGAACUGCCAUUGAUACUGAUAAUCUUGAGUGUAGUUGAAGUGGGCGGAAUGUGUCAUGUAGCGGUGAAAUGCAUAGAUAUGACACAGAACACCGAUUGCGAAGGCAGCUCACUAAGCUAUUACUGACGCUCAUGGACGA